rnacentral:lncRNA from 1 species
UAUAAAAUUGCUCAUGUUCCCUAUCAGAAAAUCCACGUGAUGAUCAUCAUAUGUGAUAUUAUCGUACGUUAACCCAUUCCAUCUUUGGGUAACCAACCGGUGUCGUUGCUUGCCAUGCAGUGUCGGGGUAGCUAGUGUCACCCCUAUCGGUAUAGCUAGUGAAAAGGUAGCCAGGGACCCAGCAUGGACCCAGUGUAGCCUUCCAUUUUACCUAAAUUGCUUGAGUUGAAAGUCUGAAACAAUCCGUUUUUCGUAUUAAUUUCUGUAGCCUUUUUAACAAUUUCUCAUCAAAAUGACUAAUAGUCCUAAAAAAUUCUGGAGUAUGAUAAUCUUACCAGGAAAAACAUAUUCGUUUUCUGUGGAAAGGGAUUUUCACAUAUCUAAAGCUGUUAUUGAUUUAUCACAAACCACUUUUCCUCAUGCAACAAGUCUUAUGGUGGACUGUGAUGAUAAAAAAAAGAUUAUGUUGUGCCAUCUGCAGAAUGAUUGGCAUUCCAAAAUAUUGAAGCCUCAAGCUGAUCUUGACAUUCACUUUUGUGUUGGACAGAAAGUAACACUUUAUACUGCAGUACAUAGAGUUUCUUCUGGUACGCCACACACAAUCCAUCUAUCAGGAUAUGAAUUUGUGUAGCACACGGCUGUAAUGGGAGUAUUUUAAUACACUUAAAAAGCCCACAUUUUAUACAGAAAUGUCAAAGUUUAAAACCCAAAUGUAUUUUAUUUAUUUCAUAUCCUAAGGUGCCGAAAUCCAGUUUGACGAAUAUUUCAGGUAAGCCGCGAAAUGCAGCAAAAUUCUCCCAUUGCGUGGUCGAAAAUCGUGCUUCAUAUAAUCUAAUGAUUACUUCCAGUCAUAGACCUAAAGUGCAGCACCAAAAACAAUGUUUGCUAAAGGAACGAGAUCCCGGUAUUAAGCUCCAGAACUACAAACUGUUGAAGUAAGGAAAACUACUGAAAAGAGAGGUAAGUACCUUCAGCUAUAAAAACCAUAUAUGAAUCCCUUUCACCCAAAGAUAAAAGAUAAGAUAAAAGAUAAAACACAAAAUACGAAUUUCCAUUUAACAUUAUUAUUUAAUUGAUAAGAUACAGUUUAGUAGCAUGACAAUAAAGUCAAUUUAAUUUACUCAAACAGAAAUAUCUCAUUUUCACUCGAUUGAAAUUCCCCAUCCACUCCAAAAAGAAAAAACUCACCUAACAUCCGAACAAAAAAAGGCAAACUACCAUAAAUGGGGGAAAGCGACUCGCGGCUGCAAAGCAGUGUCAAACAAAAAACAAAACAAUAAGACAAAUGAAUAUUUAAUCAUUGUACUGAGGGGGCUAAAAAUUACAAUUUAUAAUUGUUGCGGUUCAAGACCUUCCACACACUUCCGUCUUUUUACUGCGCACAAUUAAACUUUCUCCAAGAGACACUGAGUGAAGAAUGAUCGAGGUAUA